AGAAAACCCAGUAACCAUGAAUACAUGCACCUUCAUUUUGGUGCUAUAAGAAUGAUUUUAACUCUCCAUGGAAGGAGAUGCCUUCCUGUUACUGUUAGAAUUUCCCUGUUGAAUACUAGGUUUCCCAAAUAUGAGCAUGUUGUGAUUGGUACUUGUAUCAGUACCUUACAUGCUGGAAGUAUAGUGCUUGCUUUUUUCCCUAAUUACAACAUGUCCCUUCAAGAUCUUGUCUUCCUACAAGUUUGAAGGUUCAAGUCUAGCUAGUUGGAGCAGAACAGAUGGUAUCUUCCAUGGCAGCAACUCUCCAUCACCAGAUCGUGUAUAGGCCUCAGGAUCAUGCCAUUGAGCUUCCGCUCAGGAUCAUGCCAUUGAGCUUCCGCAGCUAGGAAUUUCUUCUGACACUCUGAUGGUCCUUAUUGAUAUGGAGACCACACCCACAAUUGUACAAGUUCCCAGACAGAUCACCAGAGAUGCAUUAGUAAAGCUCAUUCUAAAAAGUAAUUUGACUUCCCAUGAAGUUGAGAUAAAAUACCAACCAAAGAUUUGCACAAUUCCAGAGAACUUGAUGUUCCUGAGCCAAGUUCCUCCCAACCAAAUAAGGCCUAUAUAUACUUUUAAAUUUUCUUUUCUCCAUGCAAUAUUCCUACAUGUUUACUUUCUCAUCUCGAAAACUGAUUGAAAAUGGUUUCUUAUCCCACAUGGCAGCAAGGAGUCAUCGCGUACUCUCCAAAUUUUAAGCUUCAUUAACCAGGGUAAAAUCCCAAAAUCAUGGAGAACUCCAUUUUGGCGAGCUGUCCCCCUCCCCUUCAUCUAAAUUUCAAUGCCGUUACAAACUAAAAUCCAAUUCAGCUCGUUUCAAAACAGACGUGACCCGUUCAAAAAAUUCAGGUUCCUUUUCUUGGAUAUCAUCAAGUGUCCUCAAUUCAUGUUCAUCUGCCUGCAGAGAGGGAAGAACUUCCAAUAGUAUCUAAAUUUUAAUUCAAAUUUCCAAAAUAAUAUACAUUCCAGUCGCCAGGUUGCCUUUUUCUCAAGCACAGAUAUGCACAGAGCAGUGAACAGUGGUCCAAAAGUAGCAAAGAAAUACGUUACUUACUGUAUUACAUGUGAAAUAAAUAAUGACAGGCCUACAACUGUUGAAAAACCUCGCAUAAUCACCUGUACAUGUUUUUCCAAAAGAAACAGAAAAGUACAUUUCUAAAUUAUAUACAAAUACAAUUGAGUUUAAUUAACUUCCUAGGUGCUCCCUCUUUCUUUCCCUCACCCUCCACAACCAGAACUAAAUUUUAACUUCCUAGGUGCUCCCUCUUUCUUUCCCUCACCCUCCACAACCAGAACUAAAUUGCAUGGAAUGCAACAUGCAUUAUGGAAGAUAACAACAAAGUGUCUAUGACUAGAUUUAAAAAUAAAUAAAACCUGAAGUCAAAGUAAAUUUGUGGCAUAUGAUUAUACAACUUGGUCCUGCAAAUUUAGAGGAAAGGCAAAAGAACUCUUCCAAUUGUUAUAGCCAAACAGUUAUCAUGUUCAUGUAGUUCCUAUGAGUAUGAAAGAAGAGUUAGUAUAAUAAGAGCAAAUUAUUAUGUGAGUUUAGGAAAGAAAACAGAAAAGGAAGGGAAAAAAAAAAAGGGAGGAAGCUAUGAGAGAGCACAGGGUUAGAUAUCCCAGUAGUCCUACCAAGCAAUGAUACGUUGGACAUUGGCUACCAUGUGUAUCAAAACAUGCAGUACUGUAGCUAGAAAGAGAUAACUAUGCCUUCCAACAAACUUAUAUAGGGUCCAUUUGGAUAGACAUGAAUUUCAAAUGACUGAGAAUUUGGAUUUGUGUUCCAAGUAAAAACUAAAAAAUCAUAAAAUUUCAACAUAAUAUCAAAUUCCAAUCCUCACCAUUUGAAAACCAUAUCUGUCCAAAUGAUUAGAAAUUUUCAUGGAAUUUUGAAAUGAAAUAAUAAGAUAUGGAAUUGAACAAAAAGAACCAAUUCUCACAUCAUGUAAAUUCAAACUAGAACUAGAAAUAUAACCUUUUAUUUUCUUCCAGUGUCCACAUGAAAGGCCUAAUUUUCUAUAGUGAGAGAUCAGGAAUGAGGGAGUAAGAGACCGUUCCUUUUCUAUUUGCACUCCUGAUAGCAAAAUGGAAUUUAUGGAUCAAACUGAAGGAUGGUAUUCUGGUAAAGAGGUUUAAUUAACAGCUGAAGCAGGCUUCAAAGUUAAAUUUGGCAUCAAGCAAUCUGAGGCACUGGCAAGGAAAGUGGCAGCUGAGGGUGGCUACAGCAUUAGUUCCUAUCCAAGGGUGUCUUUUAAGUUAGAAAGCUACAGUCAAUUUUAAGACAUGUUUUUCAACAAGAAGCCAUCAAAUAAAGAUCAUCCCUUGAAUUACUGAAAUGAUAAUUUUACAAAAGUCAACAGUAACAUUACUCCAAAUAUGGCAAUUUAAAAUCAAUUAACUUGUUCCCAUUUCAACAGCAUAUACAAGCUACUGAAAAGCACUUUGUCAUGGAAUCAUAUGAGAAAGUAUGGAAAAUAAAUUGAAGGAAACAUCUACCCUAUAUCUGGUGUCUGGGUGCAACAAUAAUUUUUGCCAUGUCAAAUGUGAGGCAGCUUUACUUUUGAAAUAAGAAUGGACAGAAGACUUGUGUACAAAAAUUGAAAAAUAAAAGAAAAAAGAGAGGGGGAGUUGGAACAAAAGAGCUGCCACACUUUUGAGACAAAAUUCAUUGGCCUGUUGUAUGGAUAGGCACAUAAAUUGGGUGUAGGGCGGAAUAUACUAAAAUUUAAUUGGGAAAAAUAGCUAUAUGAUUUUCUCUAGUGU
rnacentral:misc_RNA from 1 species